UAAAAACCCUAUUUGUAAACAACCAGUCCUUUAACUAAGCGCUACGUCAUAAACACGGCGCGCUUGGAAGACCACGAUGUCAUCUUCCUUCUGUCAGGAGGAUCCCAGUGAAGCUACAGGAGUUUCAUUAACGUCAACAACUUGGACCGAACGGUUUGUUUUGCUUAAUGAAGAGCAGGAAGGGCAGCCUGGAGAGAAAGAGAAGCCGGGUUGAGCCCACUACCAUCAUCCACAUACCACGAGGAAGAUGAGGGAGAGAAAUGAUCCUACCAUUAAAGAGACUGUGAAAAGAACGUUGAGAACAUCACCACUCUACAGGAAGACACAGUCCAGUAAUGGGUGUCAGAAUUUCAGUAGUGAACGACAGGUACUGUGGAAAAAUGUGUGUCAUUGUUGUACAAUGUCCUUUGACUCUGUUUACACAAGGUUAACACAAAAAGGUUUGAUUGUAAACUGAUAUUGGUAUGAAUUCAUGUUAUUCUCCUCUUCACAAGAAACAAACAAUCCAAAUUACCUGCAGAAAGCCCUUGAUGGACGCUUCAGCUGCAUCGUCAGACUGGCCAGACAGCAAGAUGCCAACUUUAAUGCCAAUUUAUUUGUGUAACAUUCUGUGACCAAAUGUAUAGAUAACUUUUUGUAGAUUGUUAAAAAGAUAACCCAUUUAUUAAAAAAAAACUACACUAGAAUUACCGCACUGCGUUGUAUGACUCCGCUAACCAGUGCAAUGUCCGUCUACAUAUUUCUACAUAUUUUCUCUCGUAUAAAUGACACUGUGUCUCUUGACAACUGAAACCAUAAGAUGAGGUCAGUGUGGCCUUGACCUUUUGACUUUAACACAAAUACACAGUUAGACAAUCCGAAAACAUACAGUUAUGCCAAAAUAUAUUUUGUUUCACAUUCUAGAUGGCAUAAGCAGAGACAUCAACUCAGGAAAAAUAUUUCUGUAGAAAAGAAAGCCCUGUACGUGUGUACGUAUGUAUACAUACACACGUACAAACGCACUAUUGAGACGUUUUGUUUUUUAUCAUAUAUUCUCAGGAAGGACUGAUGCAUUUACUGAGACGGGACGUGAGGGCCUACUCUGCGUGCUCAGAGUUCAAGCCCAGCAGGCUGCAGCGGUCCUGACAUAUUCCGGAACAGCAGCACAGUCUUUGGA